rnacentral:lncRNA from 1 species
GUGCUUCUGUAAGAUUUAGUGCCAGGAAGCUACAAAGCUGGGAGCCAGCUCCAAAUACUCCCACAGGUUACUUUACAUCUAGUAAACAGUGGUGUAUAGAAGGACAGUGUGAUUGCAUACUUGCUCUCUGCUGAACCACCACACUCCUCACUUUCCAGCCCUCUGACUCUGAAGCAGCUUUGGGGCUCCACAUGUGGACAGGCAGGAGCUCUGAUUUAUCUGUAAUACUGAAGAUAGGGCUAAAAGGGUUAGCUUGGAUAGACCCUUUGCAUCCUAUGUGGCACAGGCAAAAUUUUUCAGAAUUUCAGCAGUGUUUAACCAAGAAUGAAAUCACCCUGUUUCAUACCAAGCUACUGCAGGACAACCCUUGCUCUGCUCAGCAGGAAGGAGGCUGGUGUUCUUUCCACCUAUGGAUUUGCUCCACAGGGAUAUGGCAUGCUCUUUGGCAGGUCACACCACAGCCCUUGGUCUCACAGGCUAAAGAAAUGUGUAAAGACCCAACAGACAAAAUGAACUAGUGAUACAGCAAAGGUGCCUCUACAGGUCUCUGAGCCUUACCCUAGAAGCAGCUCCAAGGCUAUGGGCCACCUGCCUUCACAGGAAGACCUCUCUGCCUCUUUCAUCCUGCCAUACUGCCCAGGGAGACAGCAGUCUUUUCUCACAUCCUGGGAACUACAUAAGCUGCACUACAAAACCAGACGGCUGUGAGAGAUGUUCACAGGCAUUUGUUGGGAGCCAUUACUUGUGUUUGCCUUGCUACAGGCUCAUGAGCUCACCUAUGCUUGCUUUUGGUCUAGGGCAAACCAUCCACAGCUAUUUCUCUUUCUGUCACAUUACUCCAGAGUGUCCUCAAAGUGAUGGGCUGUGGCUAGAUGCAGAGAACCCCCUGAGUAUCAAAAGCAUUGCUUGACAGACCUGUCACACUCUCUGCUACAUAAACCAGAAUGAAAUGUCUCUGCAAAGGAAGAUUUAGAGAUUGAUGCAAGUUCUGUAAUAAAAUAUAAUAAAAUGUGAAUAGACUCUCUGGG